GACUCCUGGCCGGCCAGAUUGAGACUGGAAGUGUGAAGUUUGCGCCAGCAGGUUUUAUAUGCAGAGGAAGGUUUUUAAACAUCGCAGUACCUUUAUAUCCCUUUAGUACUAUAUGGAGCCCAGGACUGUGCAGAGUGCUCCAGGUGAGGACUAGCCAAUGUUCGGUUGGUUGGAAGAAGGGAAGUCACCACCUUGGAAAGGAGGUCGAUUCACGGAAAAGAUCAGAUAAUGAGGAAGGAGCAAAGCUGAAGAUAUGAAGGCAGUGGAGAGGCAUCAAAAAGGGUCUCGAUCUGAGAUGAAGAGAGAGCAGAUUGAGUUUGGUGAGGCAGUAACAAACAGAAACCAUGCUUUGAUGGCAAAUCCCACAAGAUGUUGACCUUUUAUCCUAGUCUUGUUUCACUUACAGAGAGAGUGUAGACAGGGCACUAGAAGCCCUGCUGGUACCUGUCAACUCAAACCCCUCCGAUGUGGGCCAGGAGUUGUAGGAGGGGAGAGAAAUUGAAAUAAAAUGAAGAGAUGCAAACAUA